CCCUUAGAUGUUCUGGGCCGCACGCGUGCUACACUGAGUGGAUCAGCGGGUCAGGUUGCGCGAAAGCGUUUCCUAAUCUUUAAAUCCGCUCGUGAUGGGGAUUGACGGUUGCAAUUUUCUGUCAUGAACGAGGAAUACCUUGUAAGCGCGGGUCAUCAUCCCGCGCCGAAUACGUCCCUGCCCUUUGUACACACCGCCCGUCGCUCCUACCGAUUGAGUGGUCCGGUGAGGCUUUGGGAUCUGAGCGGAAAGAGCGUUUCGCUGUUUCUGCUCGGAAAACUCAGUCGAACCUUAUCAUUUAGAGGAAGGAGAAGUCGUAACA
rnacentral:rRNA from 1 species